AGGGUGAGGCAUAUGCCGUCUCCACUUGC
rnacentral:piRNA from 1 species